rfam:Cavia porcellus supercont2_12 genomic scaffold, whole genome shotgun sequence.
GGUUUAGCUCAGCGGCAUAAGCGCCUGCCUUGAAAGCAGGCAGUCGUGAGUUCGAUUCCCAGUACCG